AACGAACGCUGGCGGCAUGCCUAACACAUGCAAGUCGAACGAGACCUUCGGGUCUAGUGGCGCACGGGUGCGUAACGCGUGGGAACCUGCCCUUAGGUUCGGAAUAACUCCCCGAAAGGGGUGCUAAUACCGGAUAAUGUCUUCGGACCAAAGAUUUAUCGCCUUUGGAUGGGCCCGCGUUGGAUUAGUUAGUUGGUAGGGUAAAAGCCUACCAAGGCGACGAUCCAUAGCUGGUCUGAGAGGAUGAUCAGCCACACUGGGACUGAGACACGGCCCAGACUCCUACGGGAGGCAGCAGUGGGGAAUAUUGGACAAUGGGCGAAAGCCUGAUCCAGCAAUGCCGCGUGAGUGAUGAAGGCCUUAGGGUUGUAAAGCUCCUUUACCCGGGAUGAUAAUGACAGUACCGGGAGAAUAAGCUCCGGCUAACUCCGUG
rnacentral:rRNA from 1 species